rnacentral:rRNA from 1 species
CUAAAUGUGACAAUUAAUGUGACUUGCAGAGUACGUGAAUCAUCAAGUAUUUGAAUGCACAUUGCA